CAUAUUUCAGUACCCAGUACCCAAUUCAUAACUUGAUCUUUAAAAUCACGAAGACAGCCACCACUAUUUUUCCGGUGCACUUCAAGUUCCCACUUGCCGCUGCCAAUUGCGAUUCUCUCACAAUUGAGUGGCAUGGCCGCAGGGGCCACGAAUUCGGAUUCGAAUUGUAAUGAAAUCAUUCCCAGAUUGGCCACAUAACUCGCUUUCGGGGAUCGGCGGCUGUGGUGUUUCUGUAUUUCUGUACUUUGCUUCCCCAGUCGAUCGAUGAUCGUCGCUGCCGCCAUUUGUGAUUUGUGGUCGCUGCUUGUUGGCUGAUUACAGCUUACACAGCACAGCCAAACGAACAAAAACGAAACGGAUACACAGCCACUGCCACAGAUACAUUUACAGAUACAGAUACUUUGGCUACGUUCCCAGCCAAAGCUAAAGCCAGGGCCACCACAGAUAAAUGGCAGCCAAAGCCACAAUCAAGUCGAAUUCCACACUGUGAUUUGUGCUGGCACAGGAAAUCGCAUUCAGCUGAAUUUUUGAAUUGUAUCUGUAGAGAGAGUGCCGAGCUGACAACCUCGUCCACGCCUCUUUCUAUUAACGUGUCCGAAACGCACAAUAUUGAAAGAUACCCGAACCGCCACAAAAGCCCAAUCGAAUGAAAUCUCAAAAUCUCCUUCUUUAGAACCAUGCGCCGCCGGCGCCUUCUGAAACGAGGAUGGGUCUGAAAAACUGUUUGCUCUUUUUCGCCCCGUCAUUUAUGGCCAUAAAGAAAAGGUUGCCUGAGUGAAUUAUGGGGCGUUGAUACUUGAGUGAUAUUGCAUUAUUAAUAAAAAGUGCACAGGGCAUUUCUAUAAA